rnacentral:rRNA from 1 species
AUUGAACGCUGGCGGUAUGCUUAACACAUGCAAGUCGAACGGUAACAGGCCUUCGGGCGCUGACGAGUGGCGGACGGGUGAGUAACGCGUAGGAAUCUGCCUCAUAGUGGGGGACAACGUGGGGAAACUCACGCUAAUACCGCAUACGCCCUACGGGGGAAAGCGGGGAGUCUUCGGACCUCGCGCUAUGAGAUGAGCCUGCGUUAGAUUAGCUAGUUGGUAGGGUAAAGGCCUACCAAGGCGACGAUCUAUAGCUGGUCUGAGAGGACGAUCAGCCACACUGGGACUGAGACACGGCCCAGACACCCUUACGGGGAGGCAG